CAGCCGCCGCGGUAAUACCAGCUCUCCGAGUGGUAGGGAUGAUUAUUGGGCUUAAAGCGUCCGUAGCCGGCUUAGCAAGUCUCCUGUUAAACUCAGCGACCUAAUCGUUGAGCCGCGGGAGAUACUACUAGGCUAGGAGGCGGGAGAGGUCGACGGUACUUCCGGGGUAGGGGUGAAAUCCUAUAAUCCCGGGAGGACCACCAGUGGCGAAGGCUGUCGACUAGAACGCGCUCGACGGUGAGGGACGAAAGCUGGGGGAGCGAACCGGAUUAGAUACCCGGGUAGUCCCAGCCGUAAACGAUGCGGGCUAGGUGUUGGGUGGCUACGAGCCACUUCAGUGCCGCAGGGAAGCCAUUAAGCCCGCCGCCUGGGGAGUACGGCCGCAAGGCUGAAACUUAAAGGAAUUGGCGGGGGAGCACCACAAGGCGUGAAGCUUGCGGUUCAAUUGGAGUCAACGCCGGGAACCUUACCGGGGGCGACAGCAGGAUGAAUGCCAGAUUGAAGGUCUUGCUGGACAAGCUGAGAGGAGGUGCAUGGCCGUCGCCAGUUCGUGCCGUGAGGUGUCCUGUUAAGUCAGGCAACGAUCGAGACCCGCGCCCCUAGUUGCUACUGAGGAAAUUUUCCAAGGGGCACUCUAGGGGGACUGCCGUCGACAAGACGGAGGAAGGAGCGGGCCACGGCAGGUCAGUAUGCCCCGAAUCCCCCGGGCUACACGCGAGCUGCAAUGGCAGGGACAAUGAGUUCCGACCCUGAAAAGGGGAGGCAAUCUCUAAACCCUGCCUCAGUUGGGAUCGAAGGCUGGAACCCGCCUUCGUGAACAUGGAAUGCCUAGUAAUCGCGCGUCAUCAUCGCGCGGUGAAUACGUCCCCGCUCCUUGCACACACCGCCCGU
rnacentral:rRNA from 1 species